rnacentral:rRNA from 1 species
UACGUAGGUGACUAGCGUUGUCCGGAUUUACUGGGCGUAAAGUGUGCGCAGGCGGCGUCGCAAGUCGAGUGUGAAAGCCCCGAGCUUAACUUGGGAAUUGCGCUCGAAACUACGAUGCUGGAGUGUGGCAGAGGAAGGUGGAAUUCCACGUGUAGCGGUGAAAUGCGUAGAGAUGUGGAGGAACACCGAUGGCGAAGGCAGCCUUCUGGGCCAACACUGACGCUCAUGCACGAAAGCGUGGGGAGCAAACAGG